GGGUUCGUGAUAUCUGUGGCAGGGAUUUUUAAGCGAGCCCAGGUGAUGAUAUAUGAAUAUGGGGAUUACGGGAUGGAGUGAUCAUGAUGUAUUUAGCUAGUAGAUAUGGAUUUUCUUUUGUCUUAUGUAUAUAUGUGGACAUUUGAUAUGAAAACUGGAAUUUAUCUUUGUUUAGUUAUUGAUGUUGAAUCUGAUUUAUCUGCCUUGCGUGCCUGCGGGGUCCGCCCUGCAGGUGCGCGGCGUCUGCUCGCGCCCCGGGCCCCGGGUUCGGGGCGUGACAUUC